GUAAGAAGUUGCUGUAGCCAAAGUCAAAGAGGUUAUUGCUGUUUUUUUCUUGAGGAUUUUGAUGGUUCCCUGAGGGAGAGUUUCUGAACUCCUAAGACUAUAUGGUGAACAUAUAAUGAAAAUACCUGCACACCAAGAAGCAAAAAUGUUCACUCUGAUGACCAUCCUGCAGUAGGGCAAUGCUCAGGCACAGAAUGUUACUUUCAUUUGUAAGACAGAGGAUCCCUCCACAACGUGAUCACUAUUCAGCCACAGCACAGACCUGCUCCUUCCUUUCCUUGAGAGGUGCCAGUUGUGUGCACUGAUUCCUUUUAACCCUUGUCUCCAAAGAACUGAAAGAAUAUCAGCAUUUCUACACACAUGAUCUUGAAUAGCCUCUCAGCAUGUUUAGUGUAUGAUUUCCUUAAAAGCAUUCUUACUAGGUGAUACUCUUCCCAGAGAAAAGCUUGGAGGUCCAAGGUUUGAUCUACCAGUUUUAAACUCAUUAUCAGUGGCUCACUUAUCUUAUGAUGUUCCUACGGUUUCAACCUGCAUCCCUACUCCCAGUAGGUGAUAAUAUAGUUUUUAAAAUUCUUAUCCUUUGCCAAAGGAUGGAAAGAAGCUAGAAUGAGUGACAGGUUUACUGUAGUGUCAUUCCCUGAAUAUGUUUACAAAUGGGAAGAGCUACAAAUGCAGGAUCAUCAAGGGCUCACCUUAAUGUAACUUAGAAAAUGGACCAAAUAGACUCCCACCCCAUAGUU